rnacentral:lncRNA from 10 species
CCCAGAAAUAGGAAGAUAACUUCAAAUUGUGACAAGUGCUGUGGCUGUAAAACCCAGGUUAAAAUGAAAGAGUAAUAGGUCUGUUUGGAUUUGGAAAAGAGGGGUCAAGGAAGCCUCUCCAAAAGUGUGGCAUUUUAACAGAGCCUGAGGAAUGAGUUGUGUCGGGGUGAGGGAGGGAUCUGUGCAAAGAAAACAGCAUGUGCCAAGGUCCUGAGGCAGGAAGCCAUGUGAUGAACCCAAAGUAAGAUCAGGAUGGUCUUCAGUGAGGCUGAGAGGAUUCUGUUUAAAGGGUGUACACUGUGAAUCACAGUUUCAAAGGAAGACGGCAAAUAUGAACCUCAGCCAAGCAAUUUGUGAAGCUGGAUUGCUGACAGAAAUCCAGGAAGCAGCAGAAAAACAACAAACAAAAGAAGAGCUCAGGGGCUGCGUGUAACCUGGAGGAACACAGUAGGAUGAGCCCCAGGAUGAAACGGAUGAGCAAACUGAGUCCCAGCAAAGUUCACUGGUGUGGCCAAGGUCACAUGGUUGUAAGUGGCAAAGACAGAAUCAAACCCAGGUGGUCUGGCUCCAGGAUCCACCUCUUGGUACUGCAGCUCUUCCUGAUAAUACAACUGACCUUCCAGCCUCCUGUAUUCACAUUUAGUUUUUCCUCGAUUUCCCUGUGUUUAGUUUCCUGUAAUACUCUUCUAACAGGUCAAACUAUUUUAUACUAAAGCCUUCUUUAUACGCAAAAGAAAACUUUUAUUUUAAAGCAUACAUUAUUCAAUAUUAAUGCUCAUGCCAAAGAACCUUAAAUUAGUUUAGAUUUUUUUUUUUAAAGGCAGGAGAGUAAAAAGAUUACCUUCAGGAGAACUUUAAAUUUACAUUUUCUUUUAAGAGAGAAUAUAAGCUAUUAUGAUAUUUUUAAUGAAAGUGUAUUUAUGCUUAAGUUUUCUCUAUGCUAUGAUAUUUUAAAAAAUAUUUUUAUGAGACAUGCUGCCUACUGCACUGACGCAACUUAACAAUCAUUUUUAAAAAGAAGGAAAGAAGGUAGUAUGGGCUGGAUGUGUUGGCUCACACCUGUAAUUUGGGAGGCCGAGGUGGGUGGAUCACCCAAGGUCAGGAGUUGGAGACCAGCCUGGCCAACAUGAUGAAACCCCAUCUCUACUGAAAUACAACAAUUAGCCAGGUGUGGUGGCAGGUGCCUAUAAU